rnacentral:rRNA from 1 species
GAUGAACGCUGGCGGCGUGCCUAAUACAUGCAAGUCGAGCGAACAGAUAAGGAGCUUGCUCCUUUGACGUUAGCGGCGGACGGGUGAGUAACACGUGGGUAACCUACCUAUAAGACUGGGAUAACGUCGGGAAACCGGAGCUAAUACCGGAUAAUAUUUCGAACCGCAUGGUUCGUUAGUGAAAGAUGGUUUUGCUAUCACUUAUAGAUGGACCCGCGCCGUAUUAGCUAGUUGGUAAGGUAACGGCUUACCAAGGCGACGAUGCGUAGCCGACCUGAGAGGGUGAUCGGCCACACUGGAACUGAGACACGGUCCAGACUCCUACGGGAGGCAGCAGUAGGGAAUCUUCCGCAAUGGGCGAAAGCCUGACGGAGCCACGCCGCGUGAGUGAUGAAGGUCUUCGGAUCGUAAAACUCUGUUAUUAGGGAAGAACAUAAGUGUAAGUAACUGUGCACGUCUUGACGGUACCUAAUCAGAAAGCCCCGGCUAACUACGUG